rnacentral:lncRNA from 1 species
GUUCUGCAGUCAGUAGCUUGUCUCUCCUAACUUUUCUUGCUUUCACCGGAGACAGCACUAUGCAAUGCCUCACCUGCGUUUCACUUUCAAGUCUGGUGUGAUGUGGCCUAAUACCCUGUGAAGACUUUCCUUCCUGUGGAAAGACAUCCUUCAUCUUUAGCAGAUUUUGGAUCAAGACUCAGUUCCAGCUUUAGAUUGUCACAGAUGAGAGUUUGGAAGCCUUGUAUUUCUGCUGUCUGGAUAGAGAUUCCAAUCUUCGCCAUGCCAUGUCAUGCCAGAGUUUUGUGUAUGUUUGUGUACGUGUGUACAAGUACAUAAGCACUGACAUACUUGCUGGCAUUUUCAAAAGCGAAUCUGGAGUGCUGGCAGUCAGCUUCACUCUCCGCUCAAGUUUGGAUAUGGAUGAAAUUGAGCAGCUGAACUUCAUCUUUGGCAAUACUGAGACCAUGAAGUCUGUGUAUCUAGGUUGUGCCAGUUUCCAGGAUUCCCCUCCACCCCCAUCCCCGCCCCUCGCCCCGGUUCCUCGCACAGACGUGAGCAGCUGCAGCAAUGGAAGACUUCUUUGUAGAGGAGGCAGCUCCAGUGGAACAGCAGGUGUUGCUGUGAGCAGAGAGCUCUGUGUUCCUGAGAGGAUGGAAUUCAGCGGGAACGAAGGCAAGAAGGGAAGGAAUGUAGCCUGAGUUUUGCUGCUAUUUGCAAAACAUCAGCUGUAUUUGCAGUAUCAGAACCUGCUGCACUUUUCAAGUGAUCUUAAUCCAGAGAUAACAUUCAGGAAAUAACAGCUGGGAGGAAAUAGAUGCCAACAAAUAAACCUGUGGGUGCAAGAGAAACCUAUACA